UACGGAGGAUGCAAGCGUUAUCCGGAUUCAUUGGGUUUAAAGGGUGCGCAGGCGGGUUUGUAAGUCAGUGGUGAAAUACUGCCGCUUAACGGUAGGAUUGCCAUUGAUACUGCAAAUCUUGAGUAUGGUUGAGGUAGGCGGAAUGUGCAGUGUAGCGGUGAAAUGCAUAGAUAUUGUACAGAACGCCGAUUGCGAAGGCAGCUUACUAAGCCAUUACUGACGCUGAGGCACGAAAGCGUGGGGAUCGAACAGG
rnacentral:rRNA from 1 species